rnacentral:rRNA from 1 species
UAGCGUAGGGGGCAAGCGUUGUCCGGAAUCAUUGGGCGUAAAGAGCGCGUAGGCGGUCCGGUAAAGUCCGCUCUGAAAAGUCCGGGGCUCAACCCCGGGAGGCGGGCGGAUACUGUCGGGCUAGAGUCCGGAAGAGGCGAGUGGAAUUCCUGGUGUAGCGGUGAAAUGCGCAGGAUAAUCAGGAGGAACACCAAUUGCGAAGGCAGCUCGGCUGGGACGUUACUGACGCUGAGACGCGAAAGCGUGGGGAGCAAACAGG